GUUAAAUAAAAAAAGGAACGAAAUCUAUCCAAAAAAUGUUACAAAGAAAGUGGAACAUGUUUACUACAGCAUAAAGCCAAAAGUAUCAUGUGUUCGACUAUGACAUUGAUGGAUUCCCCUUGUUGCUGAAAAUUCUUGCAUUUUUCUCAUUCCCAACAAUCCAUACGAAAGCUCUAUUGAUCUAUAGAAAAGUAAUCUUCUUCUCAACCCUGAAAGGAUGCUCAAUUAGAAUUAGAGACAACCAAUCUUGCACCUUAAUAGGGUCAGUCCAUGUCCAAAUGGAGCGAGUGAGUAAAUGGGACCAAAUCUUUGAAGCAAUAAGGCAUUGAGUGAAGUUAUUAUGUUUCUGGGACUCACUAUUUGAUUUACACAAACUGCAGCAUUUUGUUGAUAGAGCCCAUCAGAAACUUCUUUGUAAGCGGUCUAGGGUAUUUAGGCAAGUGUGGUUGAGUUCCCAAAGGUGGAACUUGAUCUUUUUUGGAUAGAAAUCCUUCUGAAUGGCUUUUCAUAAGUUGGGACAUUUUCGAGAAUUUUCUGCCCAUUGAUUUGGUAGUGCAAUAGCUUCUUUGCCUUGAAUAAAAACAGGUGACACUUCCUUAUGAAUAUAUUGAUAAGACGAGAAAGAGGUCAACAAAGAUUCCCAUUGAGGUAUUUUCUCAUUCUCUAGAUUUCUGCAAAAAUUCAUAAUCCAUGAGGCGUUUUUGUGGUACCAAAAUGUCUGCCACAGAGGGAUCCUUUGUUUUUGUCAAUGCGAAUAAAACAGGAAAAGAUGCACUUAGAGGAUUUUGUCCCAACCAUAAAUCAUGCCAAAAAAUAGUUGAAUGGCCAUUUCCAACUUUGGAUCAAAUAUUUGAAUCAAUAACGUCCUCUGGUUGAAGAAUGUGCUUCCAACGGCUGUAGGAAGAAGUUUCUGACUUCAAUUCUGACUAGUUAAUCAAAAUGAGAAGACCCAAAAUUUGCUACAAUCAACUUCCUCCAUAUUUUCAAUGUGGAAUCUCCAAUACCACUUGGCUAAUAAAGCUUUAUUUCUCUUCAUUAGAUCAAGGAUACCAAGCUCUCCAUUCAACCGAAGUCAUUUUACCUUUUCCCUCUUUAGAACAUGAGAUACUUUUUGUUUUCUUGUUACCAGAUUAUGGAAAAUUUCGGAAGAUCUCUUCUAUAGCUAGGACAUCCUUUCUAGGCAAAGAGAAAAGUGACAGAAAUACAGAUCGGCCAAAGUUGCAUUAAUGAGAGAAAGUCUAUCCCUCUUUGAGAUAAAAAUGUGGCUGCAACUAAGAAGUCUUCUUUCUACUUUAUCAAUGAUAGGCUGCCAAAAAGGGAUGUUGCUUUUGGAUUACCAUGAAGGGGAAAACCCAAGAAAGUGUCAUAAUAAAUAACGGUUUGUCAAGUGCUAAAUUAAAGAAGCAUUAUUUUAUACCCAAUAAGUUCAAGACUAAAGACCAAAUAAGUUCAGACUUUUGUCCGUUGAAAAGGUUUGUUUUUUUCUUUUUCCUUGUGAGUGGAAGAAAGAAUGGUUUAUUCCAAAAAUUGUAGAUGAUGAAUUUGAAGUAAUCAAUUUUUCUCCGAGAGGAAUGGGACAACAACCUCUCUAAGGCAAUCAACUACUAAAAUAAAAAGAUGAGCUGAAAGGGGUCACCUUGCCUUAGGCUAGAAUGCCCAAAUUUUGCCCCUCAGUUUUCCACCGAUAAUGAUUGAAAAUUUUUCUGAUGAAAUGCACUCUCUAUCCAGCUUCUCCAUUUGUCUCCAAACCCCUUAACUCUCAAGAUUUCAUCUAGAAAUCCCGAUUUACCUUAUUGAUGACCUUUUCAACCGCUUCUAUACCAUUCCUCAAUGAGCUCGUUUGCAGUAAGAGAGGCGUCCAGAAUUUGACACCCUGCUACAAAAGCUAAUUGAUUCUCUAUGAUAGUGCUUGGAAUCACACAUUUCAGCCUCUCCAAUAGAAUCCUGGCUAUGAUUUUAUAUAAACAAGUGAUUCAAACUCAUCAGUGACAUUGGAAAUGGAGAAAGAUAGGUCUAUCAAUGUUACUACUCUUGGUUUCUUGAAGGAUGAUCAAGAAGGAUUGUAUUUGAUAAUGACGCCUUUGACAAGAGCAUGUUUUUCUUCAAUAUUGAGAGAAUAGCUAAUAUCUUUCCUAUACUAAAUUCACAAAUACGUAGCUCCACAUGAGAGCCCUAAACUAAAAGAAUGUAAAAUUACAAUAAAGGGAAAAAUGUAAUAAUAGGUCUCUAAAUCUGAAGUUAUAUACAUGAAUGUCAUGAUAAUAUAUACUAUAACUCACACACUUCCGCCAAUAACCCAAUCCCUUGAAAUGCCAGGAUAGAAUAAUCAUAAAAUAGAUGUCGACUCUUCCCUGUGUUGAGACAAGUCAAAUACCCCACUUUAGCACAAGACCUACUUCGUAAGCUUUUAAUACACAAAAAGCUUAUGCAACACGGAGCCAUAGGUAUUUAGCUGCACAGGUUCUCAAUACUUCGACAUUGUUUUUACUUGGAGGGAAAACAAAGUACUGUUGAAUGUGUCCAACAAAGAACUGGGAUUGGCUGCAACAGAGCUUGUUGUCUGAUAAAGGAUGUUCUCCUAAAGCCUCAUGUUCGUGAUAAAGGAAGAAUUGUUUGGCAUGCAUUUUUUUUCAUUAUUUUGUGGGCAAUUUUAUCUGGAAGGAACAAAAUGAUCUUUAGAGCUUGAUCUCAUUCUUUUGGAUUGGGGAUUAUUCUUGUAGUUAGUGUUAGGAUUCCUUUUUCUGGUUUUUUUAUGCUCUUGUACUCUUUCAUUUUUCUCAAAAGAUAACUUUGUUUCGUAUUAAAAAAAAAAAAAAAGCACUGAUCUUAUCUUCCGGGCUUUACAUGAUUAUUUUCUAAACUGGGGCCGCUUUUGCGACAGAAUAGACUACAACAAUAUAUGUUUUAACUUUAAAUUGUUCCCUUUUUAGGUGGGAAAAUAACUGAGAAAUGAGAAUAGUCCUUCCUUAACUUGA